GAGUACGUAGAGAAGCAGGGGGGAGGAAGAUGGCAAUUCCUUCACAUAUGUAUUUGAAAUGACCCAGAAGGCUAGUCAUGGACUAGCCUAUUAUCCGUGGCCAGAAGCUCCCAAAAUUUCCUUGAUUUUCCAAGCAGGGCCUUUUCUGACCCAUGCUUGAGAGGCUCAGUCAGCCAUAGGAAGAACCAGAGAGGCAGACAUCUACCUCAUCCUCUCCAAAUCCACACAGAGUCUGCACGUAAAGCUAACACCCGGACCUGCUAAUUCAGGCUCCACGUGCGUGAUUAAUAAUGCAGAAGAAGAAAGCUUGAGAGUUACUGUGCUGCGUGGGUUCUGGGAGGCAGCAAUCAUUGCCCGUCACUGACGAUGUGGGCUAACAAGUUCCAGAAAUGGUCCAAACAGACUUCAACAAUUCUGUGCUAAAAUUAUGGUCUUGUGAGGAGGAUUCAAGCUCAUCUGUACUCUACCACCACCUCUGCCUCCUGUAGAUCAAACAGCCAGAGAUUCCUGUUUCUUCAAGAGGCCUGCAACCACCCCCACCCUUGAAGGCCAAUGAUAAGUAGUUGUGGAAAAUGGAUUUCUGACUAUCCAGCCUCCUAAGAUUAAGAAAUGGACGUCUGAGGGAGAAGAUGAGGGCAGUAGAUGCUAUGGCUGUACUGGCUGGUUCUGUGUGUCAACUUGACUUACUUUAAGAGUCAUCGGAGAGGAAGGAGCCUCAGUUGAGAAAAUGCCUCCAUGAGAUCCAGCUGUAAGACAUUUUCUCAAUUAGUGAUUGAGGUGGGAGAACACAAGCUGAGCAAGCCAUGCGAAGCAAGCCAGUUAGCAGCAGCUCUCCAUCACCUCUGCAUCGGCUCCUGCCUCCAGGUUCCUGCCCUGCAUGAGUUCCUGUCUUGAAUUCCUCCAAAGAUGAACUGUGAUCUGAAAGUGCAAGCCAAAUAAACUCUUUCCUCCC
rnacentral:lncRNA from 1 species